rnacentral:rRNA from 1 species
AGGACGAACGCUGGCGGCGUGCUUAACACAUGCAAGUCGAACGAGGCCCUACCUUCGGGUAGGUGACCUAGUGGCGAACGGGUGAGUAACACGUGGGCAACCUACCCUCAGCUCUGGGAUAACCCCGGGAAACCGGAGCUAAAUACCGGAUAUGACCAAGAAUGACAUCGUUCUUGGUGGAAAGUUUUUCGGCUGAGGAUGGGCCCGCGGCCUAUCAGCUUGUUGGUGGGGUAAUGGCCCACCAAGGCGACGACGGGUA